CUGACACCACUGGAAACUAAGGUCUUCUGUUUGUCCACAGAACAGGUGCAGCACAGAUGGCAAAUGUUUUCCCUAUUCUGCUCCAACAAUGUCCUCAACCUUUUUCUGGCGGGACCAUCUUGAGGGGCAAGAGGGUAUUGGCCUUGAUGCUUCUUCAGUUCUUUGUGUCU
rnacentral:sRNA from 1 species